UUGACGGUUUAAAUAUCAUAAUAUUCUAUACACCCGAGUACUAUUAUUUUCUAUGAUGUAAUCUGCGGUAGGUCAGGUUGGGUCAGGUACCACCCCGGAGGUACUUGAAUUUGAAAGCUGUUAUCAAAAACGAUAUAUCACGACAAUAAGACUGUGUAUUGUGUACUACUCCACGGUAUAAUGCUAAGGCCGGUAGGCGGUACCUACACUCGCGGAGUGCGAUGGUAAUACUGACCGCGUGUAGUGCGCACCGCGAGAGCAGUCGGACGGGACACGCCAUAAUAGACGUUCGGGUUUGACCGGGGCAUAUUUCGGCGCGUGUCCACCGCGAGUUCACCCACGGCCCCUCUCUCAUAAAAGUCGUCCGGCGAGUGAACCGACCAAACCUUCCUCUCGAUUUUCGGGGCCGUUCCCAGUUACUUCUAUCCCCCCCCCCCCUCCAA